GAAAUGACAUGUAAACACAAGUGACAAUAACAAAUAAUCUAAUCAUUAAUGGACAACACAAGUUUUAUUGAGCAUGGCAUACCACAAAGGUAGCCGAACACACAACUGGGCAAAAGCACUUAACAACAUGAUGGCAACCCACUGGAUAUUGAAUCCAGCUAUGGGCACCUGGAAUAACAAUCCUGUCCCAUGUAGGCAUACAUUCAGCAGAAAAGCAACAGUGGCCAAAAUUUAUGCUAACAAGCACAUGGAUUGAAAGACAGAACAUGACUAUAAAACCAAUACAAAAAAUAACACAACAUAUAAAUACCAUAAAACAAACAACAUCAACAAACUGGACAGAUUUACCAUCUAUGCCAAGCCACUUGUUUCAUGAAUGGCUACCUCCCAGCUGAAUAUAAUUGCUGAAUGCUCAACAGGGGUCACAACAGCCAUAACCAUGUGUGCACACCCAAAUAUUCAUAGAUCCCUUGGGCCCAGGGUGAGAAACCUGCCAUCAAGGAAGGCUAUCCAAAGAUGGCAACAAACUUUAUUGAACAAAUCAUCAUACAACAAUCAAUAUGUAUAGUACAACAAGUACACAUAUGGCCAUAAAAUCAUCAAACAUAAUAUCUAUAAGUAUUGGCCAAAAAUUUCUUACCAAAAUUAGGAAAACGAUACAAAAAACUUGUAGUUGGGAAAAGCUGGUAAAUUCCUGUGCAUGACAAUUAACGUAAAAGCGAGAGAGCCUUCAAGAUCGCCC